CUCAUGGAUCCCACACAGUACCCAGAAGCCCAUAAGCCCUGACCUUUCUUGAUGAUCCAGCAGGAGGCUGCAGACAGGAGCAGGGUGACAGCCACUGAUGCCACAGCGAUGACUAUGGGGCCCAACGGGGUGUAUGAGUCUGGGGACAAAGCGGAGUGAUGGGGACUAAUGAAUAGGAUGGGGACACGGGAAUGUGAUGGGGUCAGAGCAGGGUGAUGCAGACAGUGGGGUGUGAUGGGGAUGUAGUGCUGGUAUGGGGACACAGGGAAGGGAUGAGGACAACAGUAAGGGACAGGGUCAACAGGACCAAAGGGGAGCCUCUCACCGGCAUGUGCUGUCUCUUCCGUGGAUCUGGGCACAUGGCCUGGGGGGACAAAUGGAUGGGCUGAGUAUCCCCCGAACUCUCACCUCUGCAUGAACACGGCUCCUGAGUGCAUUGCUAUGGGGCAGGGCUUGCAGCCAUAGGAAGGUGCCCACUGAGCCUGCCCUUCUCCUGAGACACAUAGAAUGAUGUAAGUUCCCUUCGAUCUGAUUACUUAAACUAUGCUGGAUUUAAAAAUGCAUGGCAGAGAUGCAACCGUGCACUGUAUGAUACUGCAGCACAAUUCUCUACUUCACCUUGUGGAUAAGAAAGGACAAGUAUGUUGAUGUAGGAUGGCAGCAUCCCAAUUGCAAGACUCCAUCCUGCAUUUCCCCUCCUGCCGCCAUGUAAAGCCUCUUUUAGGUGGUUUUGUUGAAGCAGGUAGAGGCACCAAGAUCCCAAAGCACACCAACAUCUGGCCAUCCUCACACUAUGGCCACAGCAUCAUCUUCUUGCUGCAUAGGAGCUCACACAGUGAGAAACCAC
ensembl:lncRNA